GACGAACGCUGGCGGCGUGCUUAACACAUGCAAGUCGAACGGAAAGGCCCUGCUUUUGUGGGGUGCUCGAGUGGCGAACGGGUGAGUAACACGUGAGUAACCUGCCCUUGACUUUGGGAUAACUUCAGGAAACUGGGGCUAAUACCGGAUAGGAGCUCCUGCUGCUUGGUGGGGGUUGGAAAGUUUCGGCGGUUGGGGAUGGACUCGCGGCUUAUCAGAUUGUUGGUGGGGUAGUGGCUUACCAAGGCUUUGACGGGUAGCCGGCCUGAGCGGGGGACAGGACCAACUGGGACUGGAAUGAGGCACAGACUACUACCGGACGCAAGGGUGGGGAAUAUUGCACAAUGGGCGGAAGCCUGAUGCAGCAACGCCGCGUGCGGGAUGACGGCCUUCGGGUUGUAAACCGCUUUCGCCUGUGACGAGGCGUGAGUGACGGUAAUGGGUAAAGAAGCACCGGCUAACUACGUG
rnacentral:rRNA from 1 species